rnacentral:lncRNA from 1 species
GCAUUCUGGCGGUGCCGGGAGCGGGGCGAGGAGGAGGGUGGGUAUGAGGCGGUAGCGGACCGCGGAGUCGAGACCUACCCGAACGACGCGGGCGAGCGGGGCUUUGGACGCCGGUGGAGACGCAGGCGAGACUCCAGCGGGAGGAAGAAGAGGCCUUUGCCAGCAGUCAGAGCAGCCAAGGGGCCCAAUCCCUCACAUUCUCCAAGUUUGAAGGAAAGAAAACCAACAAGAAGACCCGCAAGGUUACCACAGUGAAGAAAUCUUCAGUACGUCUUCCAGGGUCGGAUCAAAGAAGGAUAUUGAAAUGGAUUCCAGGCGUGUGCCUCGAGACAAGCUGGCCUGCAUCACCAAGUGCAGCAAGCACAUCUUCGAUGCCAUCAAGAUCACCUAGAACGAGCUGGCGUCAGCAGAUGACUUCCUCCCCACCCUCAUCUACAUUGUUUUGAAGGGCAACCCCCAUGCCUUCAGUCUAAUAUCCAGUAUAUCACGUGCUUCUGCAAUCCAAGCCGACUGAUGACUGGAGAGGAUGGCUACUAUUUCACCAAUCUGAGGCUGGGCACUCACUGCAGCUGGCUAAUGAUGACCAUGUGGACAUGCUUUCGGGCCUUCAGGAUCUUCUCCAGCCAGUGGAUGUCAAUAACCUCCAUCUCCUGGGUCCCAGCGAUUCUCCUGCCUCAGCCUCUUCCUAUUUCACAAGUAGGGAAACUGAAGCCCAGCAAGCCCUACAUGAAGAGGCCUCUUUGGUGAGUGGCAGCUCAACCUCUGCUAAAUGCCUCCAGUGAUGGGGAGUUCACUACCUUCCAAAGUUUUUAAAAGAUGUUAACCACUGCUAUUCAAGAACAAUUCUAGAAUUUUUUUUUUUUUGAAAGACAAGGUCUCAUUCUGUCUCGCAGGCCAGAGUGCAGUGGUGUGAUCAUAGCUCACUGCAGCUUUGACUUCCUGGGCUCAAGCAAUCCUCCCUCCUCAGCCUCCUGAGUACCUGAGACUACAGAUGUGCACCACCACACUGGCUCAUUGUUUUCAUUUUUUGUAGAGACAGGAUCUCACUAUGUUGCCCAGGCUGGUCUCCUGGCUUCAAGCAAUCCUCCUGCCUUGGCCUCCCAAAGUGCUGGGAUUACAGGCGUGAGCCACUGCAUCUGGCCUUUUUUUUUUGGAGAUAGAGUCUCGCUCUGUCGCCCAGGGUGGAGUGCAGUGGCGUGAUCUCGGCUCAUUGCAACCUCCGCCUUCCGGGUUCACACCAUUCUCCUGCCUCAGCCUCCCGAGUAGCUGGGAUUACAGGCAUCUGCCAACCAUGCCUGGCUAAUUUUUGUAUUUUUUGGUGGAGACAGGGUCUCACCAUGUUGGCUAGGCUGGUUUCGAACUCCCGACCUCAGGUGAUCUACCCGCCUCAGCCUCCCAAAGUCCUGGGAUUACAGGCUGAGCCACCGCGACCGGCCCUGCUGUUGCUUCUGAGGUUUGAAAACCGCUGCCUCAAUGCUCCUGAUUCAGCUCUUCUUACCCAAAGGUUCCCCCACCUCAUCUACUCUGUUCCUGCACAGUCGCCCUUUUCUCUGAUGCCCCGGGCAGGUUUCUCUCUGCCAGCUCCACGCUUCUGGAGUCCCCCAUCCGUCUUGGGGCCCAGCUGCCCACUGUCUGGGUUCAGACCUUCUCAACACUCCCUGGCUUCUCUGCCCUAGUUUUGCCUUCUCCAAUCCACUCUUGGUGGGUGGAAGUACGGUUACCAUGGUAACUUGAAGACAACGCAAAUCUGAUUGUAUCAUUACAAUGACUGGGAAAACCUCCAGUGCCACAAAAUAAAGCUCAAGUCACUAGCUUUGCA